GACAGAGGGUGCAAACGUUGCUCGGAAUUACUGGGCGUAAAGCGCGUGUAGGCGGUGCCGCACGUCCGAUGUGAAAGCCCAGGGCUCAACCCUGGAAGUGCAUUGGAUACGACGGCGCUGGAGUCCUGAAGAGGAGAGCGGAAUUCCCGGUGUAGAGGUGAAAUUCGUAGAUAUCGGGAGGAACACCAGUGGCGAAGGCGGCUCUCUGGACAGGUACUGACGCUGAGACGCGAAAGCGUGGGUAGCAAACAGG
rnacentral:rRNA from 1 species